rnacentral:misc_RNA from 1 species
UCCGUUUUGUCAACGGCAGUCUCAAUAGAGUGCCCGGCCGAACCGCUGGCGACUAUUGAUAAGGGUUGCGCUCGUUGCGGGACUUAACCCAACAUCUCACGACACGAGCUGACGACAGCCAUGCAGCACCUGUGCAGGGACUCCGAAGAGGGGCCGUGGUCUCUCACGGCUUUCCCCUGCAUGUCAAGCCCAGGUAAGGUUCUUCGCGUUGCGUCGAAUUAAACCACAUGCUCCACCGCUU